GCAUAUCAAUAAGCGGAGGAAAAGAAACCAACAGGGAUUGCCCUAGUAACGGCGAGUGAACAGGCAAGAGCUCAGAUUUGAAAGGCACUUUUGUGCCGUUGUAUUCUGAAGUUAGGGUCCUGAGAAACGAUGCUUAAGUCUUCUGGAAAGGAGCGCCAUGGAGGGUGAUAGCCCCGUCUAGCAUUGACCUCAUAUAGGAUCUUAACAUGGAGUCGAGUUGUUUGGGAAUGCAGCUCAAAUGGGUGGUAUGCUCCAUCUAAAGCUAAAUAUCUGCGAGAGACCGAUAGUAAACAAGUACUGUGAGGGAAAGAUGAAAAGAACUUUGAAAAGAGAGUGAAAAAGUACGUGAAAUUGUUGAAAUGGAAGGGUAGGCCGCUAACCAUGUAGAGCCGUGUUUGGGGGGAAGAUAAAUGCUGUAGAAUGUAGCUCCUCGGAGUAUUAUAGAUGCAGUUCAUAUUCCCACCCGAGCGCGAGGAUCUCAGGUUCUACUAAAUGGUGGUCUACCACCCGUCUUGAAACACGGACC
rnacentral:rRNA from 1 species